CCCUUCCAGGCCUUGGCACAGCAACUUUGCCUUGACAAAGCUGGGAUGCGGCCGCUGACAUCACAAUAGCAGCCGCCCUAGGCUGGAUUGUGAAUUCAUGCAUAGAACCAGACCUGCUCUACACCUAAUGCCAAAAAAGCCUGCAAAGUUCUCCUCUGCUACAAAGCAACACAAAAAGCCCUCCUAGUCCAUCACCUGUUGCUCAAGGCAUGUAAGAGCAGAAACACACUGAGCCCCUAGAGCCCACACUGAGAAGCUGAGCACUGAGAAGGGACCAGGAUGAGAGAGAGGAGAGGCUUUACAAGGACUACCUCAAGAAGAGGACAUAGAAUGGAGGGAAGGCCUUCGAAAGAAUAAACAACCCUCAUGCUGCCGCUUUUGCAAGGAAUAAAUGUCCAAGUUUCUUAAUAUCCAGCCACAAAUCUGUGGAGUCUUGACAGCCAAGAAGCACAGGAACCUGGACACCUUGUUGUGAGAGACUAGAGGAGAUUGCUGGCUCAACACUUUUCAGGGGCUUGUAUGUGGGGAAGGGGGCAGAUCAAGCCUUGCUCUGGUGAGGCCAUGCCCCACUCGGCACGCCCCACACCCCCAGGCCUUUAUCCUAGCCCAGCAGCGGCCACUGAUCCCUGGCACACCAGAGGCAAUGCUCCACACCUGUGUCUGGAGCCCCUAACCCAGCUCCUAAAUGGCCAGGUGAGUGGGAGCCCCAUGUGGGGGAAGGCCCCAGGAGAGCCAAAGGCUAUUUACCUUGGGAUAUGUGGCCACCAUAUGUCUUGACCCUACCUCUUCUUGGAAUUUCUAUCAGCUGAACACCACUGGAACCAGGAGUGAUAGCUAUGUUGGUUCUUUUCUGUCAUUCUCUUUUCUCUUUCUUCUCCCUUUUCCCUCCUAUCAGAUUUUUGAAAAUAACUUAAAAUGUAACAGGUUUAGUAAUCUAAAUGUAAAUUAACUUACUAAGAUUACAAGUUGAAUGGGCUAAAUUAAUGCUUCAUAGAAUGUUUUAUGUUGAUUGAAUCCUGCUCUAAAUUAUUUUUGCCUUUAAAGUUCUCUGAUUUUCAAAUGUUGCCAGUGAAGGGUUUUGAUGUUGUUCCGAACUCUUGAGAACAUCUCGUCAGUAUUUCUCCUGCUUUUCUAACUUAGAGUACAUGAACAAGUUUAAAUCCUUUUAAAGUAUCUCAUAGAGCAACGUUUUUGGAGGCUUGCAUUUUAAUUGGCACAGCAAGCAGGGUACUCUUGAGGUGAUAUGGGCCUUUUAUACAGCAUUAACUGUUCAUGACAUAAUAAAGGAGAAAUAAAUUUUCAGUCAAA